rnacentral:rRNA from 1 species
UACGAAGGGGGCUAGCGUUGCUCGGAAUCACUGGGCGUAAAGCGCACGUAGGCGGCUUUUUAAGUCAGGGGUGAAAUCCUGGAGCUCAACUCCAGAACUGCCUUUGAUACUGAGAAGCUUGAGUCCGGGAGAGGUGAGUGGAACUGCGAGUGUAGAGGUGAAAUUCGUAGAUAUUGGGAGGAACACCAGUGGCGAAGGCGGCUCACUGGUCCAUUACUGACGCUGAGGUGCGAAAGCGUGGGGAGCAAACAGG